GUUUUAAACUGCAUAUCCAUGAUUUCCGCCACUUUAAUUACAAUGACGAUACACAUUCCAUCAUUCUCACAACAAUUCACAAUUUCGCCUCCUCAAUUUCUCUCUCUCGUCGAAACCCAAACCUCCCAAAUCUGUGAAAAAUAAACCCUAGCUUUACUGUUUUGUUCUGAUUUGACGAUGCCGCCGGACACUGCAGUUGAAAUCGAUGCUGUGUUGCGUCGAUUGAAUGCAUCAGAUCCACUGGUUGUUCUGAUUUGAAGACGCCGCCGAAUAGGGUAGGAGAAAUCGACGACCUUUGCCACGUUAUUUCGAGAAAUCGUGGCUGAAGAACAAGCAUCCUGUAGCAAAACAAAACUGACAACAUGUUGAAGAGAGGAUCACCUUACAAGAGCCAACCAACUCAAAACACAGGUAGAAAGAGGGCGCCAGUCAAAUUCGAUGACGAUGAGGAGUUCGCUUGUGUUGUAUUUCCUUUUUUUAAUUUGUUGUAAUAUGAUGGAAACAGAAAAUAAUGAAUGAGCUGUAACCUAGUUUUUGAAAACAAUGAAUGCUUUUGAAACUGUUACCUAUUAACUAAGGUUUUUUGGAUGUAAAAGAGUUGUGAUGUACAUUCGCAUCUAAA